rnacentral:rRNA from 1 species
CGUAUGGUGCAAGCGUUAUCCGGAUUUACUGGGUGUAAAGGGAGCGCAGGCGGAAGGCUAAGUCUGAUGUGAAAGCCCGGGCUCAACCCCGGUACUGCAUUGGAAACUGGUCAUCUAGAGUGUCGGAGGGGUAAGUGGAAUUCCUAGUGUAGCGGUGAAAUGCGUAGAUAUUAGGAGGAACACCAGUGGCGAAGGCGGCUUACUGGACGAUAACUGACGCUGAGGCUCGAAAGCGUGGGGAGCAAACAGGAUU